GACGAACGCUGGCGGCGUGCCUAAUACAUGCAAGUAGAACGCACAGUUUAUACCGUAGCUUGCUACACCAUAGACUGUGAGUUGCGAACGGGUGAGUAACGCGUAGGUAACCUGCCUGGUAGCGGGGGAUAACUAUUGGAAACGAUAGCUAAUACCGCAUAAUAUUGAUUAUUGCAUGAUAAUUGAUUGAAAGAUGCUAUUGCAUCACUACCAGAUGGACCUGCGUUGUAUUAGCUAGUAGGUGAGGUAACGGCUCACCUAAGCGACGAUACAUAGCCGACCUGAGAGGGUGAUCGGCCACACUGGGACUGAGACACGGCCCAGACUCCUACGGGAGGCAGCAGUAGGGAAUCUUCGGCAAUGGACGAAAGUCUGACCGAGCAACGCCGCGUGAGUGAAGAAGGUUUUCGGAUCGUAAAGCUCUGUUGUAAGAGAAGAACGGGUGUGAGAGUGGAAAGUUCACACUGUGACGGUAUCUUACCAGAAAGGGACGGCUAACUACGUG
rnacentral:rRNA from 1 species